rnacentral:lncRNA from 1 species
UAGAAAACACUCAAAAAAAGUUUCAGCUUCUCCUUCUUCACUGCAGUCUUUCUUGUAACAAUUUACAACUACAUUAUUUUCACUGUUUCAGCCUGCUGUUUUCCAAUCCCUCUUCCCCUUCUUUUAACAUGAUGCCAAUAAGCCAUAUAAAUCAGUGAACCAUGUAAAUCUUUGAGAUAAAGCGAGUUACUUAUUGUUUAUACACCAGUUACAUAAUAUGGUAUAAUGAAACCAUUAUAGUACUACUUGUUCCAGCUCAAAAAUCUUUGAGUUUACUCAUUGUUGUUGUAUUACUCAAAAAAGUGCGUUUUUCACUCUUAUUAUGUACAUUAUACACUGGCGUUGAAGGGGAACAGAGUGGAGGCUAUAGCCAUUGUGUUCCCUAAGUACAAUCAUGCAUUUGUUCGGACUCUCCACAAUGUUUUCGAACCCAUAUCGAAUACUCCAAAAAUGCAAUACCUUUAGAAAAUACGAAAUGCACCUGGCGAUAUCUUUUGAAAAGUCCGAGCAACAUAGGCUUUUAAGUUUGAGUUUCAUUCCACUCUCACCUAGCUUUAAUGUUGUGAACUUACAUUUACAUAUCUUUUUGAAGACCAUAGUAUAACUAUGAAAGCUUUCUAAACAUUGAAGUAUGGUUUAUGAAGUACUGCGAAUAGAUUCAUGUCUUAACCGAAGGUCACAAUCCAACUUGAAGACGGGAGAUUUGGUUUUGUAAUACUUUUACGACCCUUUCCAACUAGAUCAAUAAAAAGAUAACACAGGACACAUGAUUUGUGGGGGUUUUGGUCCAAUACCCAAAAUGUUCACAUGCACAAAGCAUUUAGAUACAACUACUUAAGUACCUAAAAAUACAACAUAUCGAAAUACCCUUAAAUUUCUACUAAUUCCAGGAAGCUGACAUGACAACCAUGAGGUGUGUGCUUCACUCACACUUCUAUAUAGUAUUAAAGUAAAAUAACAUGAUGUAGAUUGUAUUAAACUAAGAUAUAUAGAUGGG